GACGUAGGGCGCGAGCGUUGUCCGGAUUUAUUGGGCGUAAAGAGCUCGUAGGCGGCUUGUCGCGUCGUUCGUGAAAACCUGCAGCUCAACUGCAGGCUUGCGGUCGAUACGGGCAGGCUAGAGUUCGGUAGGGGAGACUGGAAUUCCUGUUGUAGCGGUGAAAUGCGCAGAUAUCAGGAGGAACACCGGUGGCGAAGGCGGGUCUCUGGGCCGAUACUGACGCUGAGGAGCGAAAGCGUGGGGAGCGAACAGG
rnacentral:rRNA from 1 species